rnacentral:rRNA from 1 species
AGGCCUACGGGGGGCAGCAGUGAGGAAUAUUGGUCAAUGGCCGAGAGGCUGAACCAGCCAAGUCGCGUGAGGGAUGACGGCCCUACGGGUUGUAAACCUCUUUUGUCGGGGAGCAAGACCCGCCUCGUGCAGGCGGAGCGAGAGUACCCGAAGAAAAAGCAUCGGCUAACUCCGUGCCAGCAGCCGCGGUAAUACGGAGGAUGCGAGCGUUAUCCGGAUUUAUUGGGUUUAAAGGGUGCGCAGGCGGACCAUCAAGUCAGGGGUAAAAUUGUGGGGGCAAAACCGAUACGGCAGU